CACGUAGGGCGCGAGCGUUGUCCGGAAUUAUUGGGCGUCACGAGCUCGUAGGCGGCCUGUUGCGUCCGCUGUGAAAGCCCGGGGCUUAACCCCGGGUCGGCAGUGGAUACGGGCAGGCUAGAGGUAGGUAGGGGAGAAUGGAAUUCCCGGUGUAGCGGUGAAAUGCGCAGAUAUCGGGAGGAACACCGGUGGCGAAGGCGGUUCUCUGGGCCUUACCUGACGCUGAGGAGCGAAAGCGUGGGGAGCGAACAGG
rnacentral:rRNA from 1 species